rnacentral:rRNA from 1 species
GAUGAACGCUGGCGGCGUGCUUAACACAUGCAAGUCGAACGGUGAAGCUCCAGCUUGCUGGCGUGGAUCAGUGGCGAACGGGUGAGUAACACGUGAGCAACCUGCCCCUGACUCUGGGAUAACAGCCGGAAACGGCUGCUAAUACCGGAUAUGCACCAUGAACGCAUGUUCUGUGGUGGGAAAGAUUUUUCGGUUGGGGAUGGGCUCGCGGCCUAUCAGCUUGUUGGUUAGGUAAUGGCUCACCAAGGCGUCGACGGGUAGCCGGCCUGAGAGGGUGACCGGCCACACUGGGACUGAGACACGGCCCAGACUCCUACGGGAGGCAGCAGUGGGGAAUAUUGCACAAUGGGCGAAAGCCUGAUGCAGCAACGCCGCGUGAGGGAUGACGGCCUUCGGGUUGUAAACCUCUUUUAGCAGGGAAGAAGCGAGAGUGACGGUACCUGCAGAAAAAGCGCCGGCUAACUACGUG